CCUCCCGUCGCCGAGCGCCGUCGCCCCUCCUCGCCGCGCCGCCGGACCGCCUACCGUCGUCACGCGCUGCCAUGGCCUACCUUGCCGCCCCGCCUACCCCUACCCCAAGUUCCCCCACACCCGCGCCCAUCACCGGCAUCCAUACGCGCGACCUGUUUCUCCGUUGCCGGGCGGCUGCAGGAGGUGGCCGGCGUCGCCCCGUCAUGAAAUCCCCUAGCCGCUUGGUCUCAUCCGCCGCAUGCUGUCUGCCCGUACAGGAUUGACGCGCCCUAUAUCUGGCGACCCGCGGCUACUCCUCCCAGCCCCGGAUCUGCUCUCCCGCCACCUGCGACCCACGGCUUCAAUGAUCCACGACAAGGGAUGAUGACCAACUCGGCUGCCCCCUUCCCCGUGCAGCUGCCUCUGAGGCUGCAGCAGCCUUCGCACGAGGCCACUACGGCGCCACCUAUGCUGUCCUGAAGUUCCGUCAGAUUCGUCAAUUUCAGUUUCAUCAGUUUUUGUCAGAUUAAGUUUCAUCAGAUUCAGAAAAUUCAGUUUCGUCAAAGUUUCAGUUGUAAGUUAAUUUCUCGCGCACGUUGGCGCUCGGCGCUCGACGUCGUCCACUUCCUCACAUCACUCGAGCCCAAGUGCAUGCAGGUUACACCAGCCUUUGAUUUAUAUACCUACCGUAUGUCCACUGAUCAGUGACAUGAAAAGGUUGGGCGCUCUGAGCUAGAACAUAAGCUGAUUGAUGAGAUGAGUUAAAAUGCUUCUGAUUGGUUAGACCCUCAAUAUUCCAAACUGAAGUCCAAGGAAGAAGGAUCAGGAAUAGCAGAUUUCCAAUGGACGCUGGUGUUGUUGGCUGACAUCUCCGGGGCUGUACAUCAUGAUGGUUACCAAGACAUGACAAUGAUCUAAAUGCUACAGACCUGAAUGAAAUACCAUGACUGCAGGUCGUUGCUGAUUUGCGUUCGAAGAGGUGCAGCAAAAAGUGAGAAGCAACUGAGGCUAUGCUUUUAACUCAACCAAAUCUGCAUUGUUAGUUGCUCUUAUAGUCUGUUUGUAGCUAAUUGGGGGACAAACAUGGGCAAUGACCAGCUUAUUUUGAUGACAGUGCAAUCAAGGACUCACAUGUUCACUGAUGAAUCUACCUCUAUUUGCAUGGUUAUUUUCCGAAUCAGCAACACUUUAUGAGGGUCUUCAUCGGCAAUGUACAUAGUGAUGCAUAACUGUUGGUUUGAAUUAUUUGGAUGCUUCAGUUGUCAGACAUGUAUGUGCAGAGAGUUGAGGCUUUGAAAUUAGAUAAUAUGUCUAAUGAAUAUGCAUGUUUAUUCAUGGAACUAUGCUCCAUCUGUUUGAUCAAUUUGUUCGAUGCAUAUGCUCAUUCAUGUGUUGUCACAGUGACUUGCCUGCGCUCAUUGUUGAUCGCAAAGAAGUGAGUUGGUCCAGAAAUUGCAGCUGAGAUGGAGCUCGGCAGGAUGGCUAGACAGGCCCAGCUUGGUAUUAGUCUUCUCUAAAAUUUUAUGUAGAAGUUUUUUCCUAGAUCCAAGUACAUUGUAUCAUUAUUUUGCAGGUGUGAUCCACAGCAGAGAUCACAUUUUCUAUGAUUAUAAUUUAUUUACUCAUGUUCAUACUAAAUGUUUUUUUAGCAAAGUUCAUACUAAAUGUUAAAAGGGUCAAUCCACAAGCUUGUCUGAUCCCCGGUUCAUUUUUGAACUAUGUCAACGUGUUCUAUCAAGGAUCAUUUUGUUGCAUAUGGAAAUGACAAGCAAUUUUCUUACCAGAAUUAUCAUAUUUGUAAGGUCGAUCACCCAUGGGUUCUGCACUUCACUAGAAAAAAUUUGUAGCCUUGACCUGAUAAGUUAGUGUUGUUGUAUUAUGAAUUAUUCAUAGUAUGAGACCAAAUUUAUAGUUUUAGUUUCAUACAAUUUUUUGUUCUUUGAUAAAUGGAGAUUGUCAUUGUCUUCUGUUUGCAUGCCAGAAUUUGGCGGUCCAUUGUAACAAUUUUUUGGCUUGAUAUUUAUCUGUGUAGAUGCAUGGGUUCAAGGGUAUUCUUUCUCC